UACGUAGGUGGCAAGCGUUGUCCGGAUUUAUUGGGUUUAAAGGGUGCGUAGGCGGCCCGCUAAGUCGAACGUGAAAUCCCCAGGCUUAACCUGGGAACUGCGUCCGAUACUGGCAGGCUUGAAUCCGGGAGAGGGAUGUGGAAUUCCAGGUGUAGCGGUGAAAUGCGUAGAUAUCUGGAGGAACACCGGUGGCGAAGGCGGCAUCCUGGACCGGCAUUGACGCUGAGGCGCGAAAGCUAGGGGAGCAAACGGG
rnacentral:rRNA from 1 species